rnacentral:rRNA from 1 species
CCUACGGGAGGCAGCAGUGAGGAAUAUUGGUCAAUGGGCGCGAGCCUGAACCAGCCAAGUAGCGUGAAGGAUGACUGCCCUACGGGUUGUAAACUUCUUUUAUAAAGGAAUAAAGUGAGGCACGUGUGCCUUUUUGUAUGUACUUUAUGAAUAAGGAUCGGCUAACUCCGUGCCAGCAGCCGCGGUAAUACGGAGGAUCCGAGCGUUAUCCGGAUUUAUUGGGUUUAAAGGGAGCGUAGAUGAGUUGUUAAGUUAGUUGUGAAAGUUUGCGGCUCAACCGUAAAAUUGCAAUUGAUACUGGCAGACUAGAGUACAGUUGAGGUAGGCGGAAUUCGUGGUGUAGCGGUGAAAUGCGUAGAUAUCACGAAGAACUCCGAUGGCGAAGGCAGCUUACUAAACUGCCACUGACAUUGAUGCUCGAAAGUGUGGGUAGCAAACAGGAGUAGAUACCCCUGUAGUC